rnacentral:rRNA from 1 species
GACGAACGCUGGCGGCGUGCUUAACACAUGCAAGUCGAACGGAAAGGCCCUGCUUUUGUGGGGUGCUCGAGUGGCGAACGGGUGAGUAACACGUGAGUAACCUGCCCUUGACUUUGGGGUAACUUCAGGAAACUGGGGCUAAUACCGGAUAGGAGCUCCUGCUGCAUGGUGGGGGUUGGAAAGUUUCGGCGGUUGGGGAUGGACUCGCGGCUUAUCAGCUUGUUGGUGGGGUAGUGGCUUACCAAGGCUUUGACGGGUAGCCGGCCUGAGAGGGUGACCGGCCACAUUGGGAAUGAGAUACGGCCCAGACUCCUACGGGAGGAAGCAGUGGGGAAUAUUGCACAAUGGGCGGAAGACUGAUGCAGCAACGCCGCGUGCGGGAUGACGGCCUUCGGGUUGUAAACCGCUUUCGCCUGUGACGAAGCGUGAGUGACGGUAAUGGGUAAAGAAGCACCGGCUAACUACGUG